GCCUUCGGGCAUUUGGUCAAUUUGAAACGAUACAGAGAAGAUGUGAGUAAACCACCCCAGUUCGAACCGUCAUGCAAGUACUAACUUCACUGCAGUAGCAUGGCCCCUGCACUAAGGAUGACACAUGUAAUCAAAGAGAAGCAACCAAUUUUU
rnacentral:snRNA from 1 species